rnacentral:rRNA from 1 species
AACGAACGCUGGCGGCAUGCCUAACACAUGCAAGUCGAACGACACCAUCGUGACUACUUGCGCACGCGUGCGUAACGCGUCGGAACCUUCCCGUAGGCUCGGAAUAACUCUCCGACAGGGGUGCUAAUACCGGGUAAUGUCUUCUGACCAAAGAUUUAUCGCGUUUGGAUGGGCCCGCGUUGUUUUAGCCGGGUGGUAGUGUAAAAGCCUACGAAGGCUACGAUACAUAGCUGGUAAGAGAGGAAGAGCAGCCACACUGGGACUGAGACACGGUCGGGAAUAUUACGGGAGGCAGGAGUGCGGAAUAUUGGAAAAUGGGGGGAAGCAUGAUGGAGCAAGGCCGGGUAAGUGAUGAAGGCCUGAGGGUUGUAAAGCUCUUUUACACGGGAUGAUAAUGACAGUACCGGGAGAAUAAGCACCGGCUAACUCCGUG